UCCCCUGCCCCAUUCCUGUGCCUGUGCCUCCUCCUGGCUGCACUGGUGUCCCUCCUUCCAGAUGCAGCUUCCAAAGUCAGGCUCAGGGAAAGGUGGGCGCACACCAGCCCUGUGGAGAACUGCUCGGCCUUCUACGUGGGGGA
rnacentral:lncRNA from 1 species